UGGGUUAUUUGUGGGGUUACUUCGUCAUUUCAACAGCAUUGUGUGUAUGGUAUUGACUCAAAUCUGGGUUUCUGAUUGUAAUUCAACUAUUGGUAUGUUAUGCCUGGACGGAUACGGCCGCUAGUGUUUGUUUGCUUUGUCCCUGGCCUGUUUGGAGAGCUCCUUGGUCUUCAUGGUGCCGCUUGCUUGGUGGUGCCCCUUGCUUAAUGGUGUUGCAGACUCUGGGGCCAUUCAGAACAGGUGUGUAUAUACUGAGAUCAUGUGACAGAUCAUGUGACACUUAGAUUGCACACAGGUGGACUUUAUUUAACUAAUUAUGUGACUUCUGAAGGUAAUUGGUUUCACCAGAUCAUUUUAGGGGCGUCAUAUCAAAGGGGGUGAAAACGUAUGCACGCACCACUUCUUUUAUUUAUUUUUAGAAUUUUUUGAAAUAAGUCAUUUUUUUUCAUUUCACUUCAUCAAUUUGCACUAUUUUGUGUAUGUCCAUUACAUGAAAUCCAAAUAAAAAUCCAUUUCAAUUACAGGUUGUAAUGCAACAAAAUAGGAAAAACGCCAAGGGGGCUGAAUACUUUUACAAGGCAUUGUAGCACUCAAAAAGCAACAAAACAAAAUACAUAAAAUCAACAAAGUGUUUCCUUGCCUCACCAGCUACAGACAACAUGGAAAUGGGCAAUACACAGCUAGGGAUUAUUUUCACAAGUGUGAUUGGCCUCUAUCUAUGUCUUCAUGUUAUUUUUUUGAAGGUGUGGUACAGUUGUGUGUGUCUGAUGGCAGGGUAUUCCAGACAUGGAAAUCUCUCACAGAGAAAGCAGAUUGACUAAAGAUGCUUUUCCAUAAGAUACCUUGUGGAUCUGCUGUCAUAGAUUUGGGUUUUCUGUUUAACAAAAGUGCUGAGUGGAGGGGAAGACAGGCCAUUUAGGAUCUUGAAUACAAGACAUGCGUCAGUGUAUUGCAGAAGAUUUUUCCAACGCAGGAGCUCAUGCUUUCUGAGGAUGUAACAGUGAUGAUGGCUAUUGGGCUUCCUAUCAAGCACUUUGAGGGCCUGUUUGCAGACAGACUGGAUGGGUUUUAAUGUUGUACACCAAGCUUGGGCCCAACUAGUCAAGCAGUAUGUUAAAUGGGGGAGUAUCAUAGAUUUGAAGUACAGUUUUGCUACCUCUGUAGUCAAACAAUUUCAUAUAUAUCAGAAAUUAGCUAGGUUGAAUUUGGUUAUUUGAGUUACCUUUUCACCUGCUUUUUAAAAGAGAGAUUGGAAUCAAGUAUGAUGCCAAGGUACUUAAAUUCGGAUACCAGCUGAAGCUUUUCCCCUGACACAGACAUCUGGCUCAGCGGCGAGGAAUAUGCAGACCGUUAUUUUUCACAUUGAGUUGCAAACAUCAGUCACUGAGCCACUUUGUAACCUGGACCAUUACAGUAGUGAGUUCUUGUGCAGCUUGUUGUUUGCUCUUUGCACAUAUAUCACUGUAUCAUCUGCAUACAUUUGAACUUCAGACCCAGUACAGACAGAAGGCAGAUCAUUAAUGUUCAGGCUGAACAGUAUUGAUCAUCAUAGCUAAGAGUGGGCGACAGUUAGUUUUGACUAUUAUGCUGAUGAGCACCAACUUUUCAAAGGUUCUAGAUUUGUUAAACAACAGGUUUAUAUUUUUACUAAAUUAAUGCAACAGGUUGAAAUUAUUAUAUUACUGGAAAGGGGUUAUGGGUUUGUUAUUUGUUACAUUUAGAUGGAGAAACAGGAACAAUCUAAGGCAAAACAACUAUUACGUAUGUUGUUGGACAUUGGUCUAGUAACGAUACCAGGAUCAUUUGAUAUGGUUAUGGAAAAGAGAGACCAGUCAUAUCAUAUAAUAUGGGAGCACAAACAAACGUUGGGGUAGAGGUUAAAACAAACGAUUCAUGAUUUUGAGGGAGUAGGGGACUUAUCAUUAUUAUCAGGUUUUGUUUGUAGUUAAAACUUUUUCGGUUGCUGAAUCGGUGCAGUAUAGUGAAUGCUAACAAAAUGUUUUGUGUUUUUGUCCCAGGGAAAAUGAGGGUUUCGUUGUCUCUCUUGUAAUGUUUCCCGAGACUAUGGCAUGUAUGUAUGAAAUGUUUGACUGUUUUUCAUUAAUUAGUCUUAACAUAGUAAGAAACACUUCUUUGAAGGGUUGGUGUCACGCCCUGAUCUGUUUCACCUGUCCUUCUGAUUCUCUCAACCCCUUCCAGGUGUCGCUGAUUUCCCCCCGGUGUAUUUAUCCCUAUUUAUCACAGUGUAUUUAUCCCUGCUUUUCUGUUCUCUUUUACUCGUCCUCCGGGUUUUGACCUUUGCCUGUUUUUCUGGACUCCAUUCCCGCCUGCCUGACCAUUCUGCCUGCCCUGACCUCGAGCCGGCCUGCCAUUCUGUACCUCUGGAACUCUGAACUGGUUUUGACCUUUUGCCUGUCCACGACCAUUCUCUUCUUGCCAACCCCUUUUGGAUUGUUAAUAAACAUAUUGGACUCUAA